CCAAGCCAAGAAUUAGUUCUAAAUCUAAAGUUCUAUUCUAAAUCCAAAGUUUUCGAAUUAGAAUACAGAUAUUUCAAGGACUCACAGCAUAUUGAUUUGCGUUGCACCAUAACUCGGUCAGAUUAACUGGUGUCUACUGGUAGUCGUAAAACAUUUCUAAUCAAUAGUUCUCUUGAAUAUUCUAUAUUUUAGCGUAGCAACAAUUCCUAAAGAACUCUCUGAAUCGGUACAUUGACCAUUCACAUUAUCAGUUUUAAAGAUCCGAUCAUAUCAUGAAAGUUCGAAAUGCCUUGAAAAUCUUAGUGCGACUAGACUCAGGUUUAUGGUCCCUGGCUAUAAAUAAGCAAAUCAACAUCAGUCCCGCUUAUCACUGUUUACCCGACUCACGUUUCAAAACGGACUUCGUCUCUUACAACCGUUAAGUAAUACGUCGUCAUAUCACGACCUGAACCCGAAAGAUAACGUACUGUGACGAUACCGAUAAGAUAUCGUCCAGAUAUUUAGUGUCCUACCGUCUACACGUCUGGCACGUCAUGACGUCCCACAAGAAUUCCUCUUCUCACAACUUCUCACUCGACUCUUCAGAAAGGCCUAUAUCCGUAUGACCGCUUAAGGCCUCCCCUCGUGUUAAUCCAACACAGCCACAAGGACGACUUACCUCCAUCUGUGGAAUGUAUUCAUCCGUCGGUCCGCCCAUCCGUCCCAGCUCUCCCACGUUCAGCUCCUGCAUGUCCGGCACGGCCACGUCCGCCUCUACCGGCUCCUCCAGCGGCGUGGUAAACAGGUCCGGCGUCUCCCCAGCAUCCGGUACGUCCUCGGGCACCGCUGGUUCUUCCUCGCCCUCGGGCAGGUAGUCCAUCACGCCAGCCACCAUCGCCAUCUCGCCGGCCGAAACCUCCACAUCGUUCCGUCAUCAUCUGGCCAGCACUGUUCGUCAUAGCCUCGCUGAAUGCCGGGUUAAUGUGGCCUCCUUCCGUGUAGAUGCCCUCCGUAAAAGCCGU